AGAGUUUGAUCCUGGCUCAGGAUGAACGCUGGCGGCGUGCUUAACACAUGCAAGUCGAACGGGAAUUACUUUAUUGAAACUUCGGUCGAUUUAAUUUAAUUCUAGUGGCGGACGGGUGAGUAACGCGUGGGUAACCUGCCUUAUACAGGGGGAUAACAGUCAGAAAUGGCUGCUAAUACCGCAUAAGCGCACAGAGCUGCAUGGCUCAGUGUGAAAAACUCCGGUGGUAUAAGAUGGACCCGCGUUGGAUUAGCUAGUUGGUGGGGUAACGGCCCACCAAGGCGACGAUCCAUAGCCGGCCUGAGAGGUUGAACGGCCACAUUGGGACUGAGAUACGGCCCAGACUCCUACGGGAGGCAGCAGUGGGGAAUAUUGGGCAAUGGGGGAAACCCUGACCCAGCAACGCCGCGUGAAGGAAGAAGGCCUUCGGGUUGUAAACUUCUUUUACCAGGGACGAAGGACGUGACGGUACCUGGAGAAAAAGCCACGGCUAACUACGUGCCAGCAGCCGCGGUAAUACGUAGGUGGCAAGCGUUGUCCGGAUUUACUGGGUGUAAAGGGCGUGUAGGCGGAGCUGCAAGUCAGAUGUGAAAUCUCCGGGCUUAACCCGGAAACUGCAUUUGAAACUGUAGCCCUUGAGUAUCGGAGAGGCAAGCGGAAUUCCUAGUGUAGCGGUGAAAUGCGUAGAUAUUAGGAGGAACACCGGUGGCGAAGGCGGCCGUCUGGUCUGUUGCUGACACUGAAGCACGAAAGCGUGGGGAGCAAAUAGGAUUAGAUACCCUAGUAGUCCACGCCGUAAACGAUGAGAACUAGGUGUUGGGGGAAUAACUCAGUGCCGCAGUUAACGCAAUAAGUUCUCCGCCUGGGGAGUAUGCACGCAAGUGUGAAACUCAAAGGAAUUGACGGGGGCCCGCACAAGCAGUGGAGUAUGUGGUUUAAUUCGAAGCAACGCGAAGAACCUUACCUGGGCUUGACAUCCCUGGAAUCGAGUAGAGAUACUUGAGUGCCUUCGGGAAUCAGGUGACAGGUGGUGCAUGGUUGUCGUCAGCUCGUGUCGUGAGAUGUUGGGUUAAGUCCCGCAACGAGCGCAACCCCUAUUGUCAGUUGCCAUCAUUAAGUUGGGCACUCUGGCGAGACUGCCGGUGACAAAUCGGAGGAAGGUGGGGACGACGUCAAAUCAUCAUGCCCCUUAUGCCCAGGGCUACACACGUACUACAAUGGCCGAUAACAAAGUGCAGCGAAACCGUGAGGUGGAGCGAAUCACAAAACUCGGUCUCAGUUCAGAUUGCAGGCUGCAACUCGCCUGCAUGAAGUUGGAAUUGCUAGUAAUCGCGGAUCAGAAUGCCGCGGUGAAUACGUUCCCGGGCCUUGCACUCACCGCCCGUCA
rnacentral:rRNA from 1 species